rnacentral:rRNA from 1 species
CGAACGCUGGCGGCGUGCCUAACACAUGCAAGUCGUGCGAGAAAGUCCUUCGGGAGCGAGUAAAGCGGCGCACGGGUGAGUAACACGUAGGUAACCUGCCCCCCAGUCUGGAACAACUAGAGGAAACUCUAGCUAAUGCCGGAUGAGACCACGAUCCCUUCGGGGGUUGCGGCCAAAGAUGGCCUCUACUUGUAAGCUAUCGCUGAGGGAUGGGCCUGCGGGCCAUUAGCUUGUUGGUGAGGUAACGGCUCACCAAGGCUGUGAUGGCUAGCUGGUCUGAGAGGAUGACCAGCCACACUGGGACUGAGACACGGCCCAGACUCCUACGGGAGGCAGCAGUGGGGAAUAUUGCGCAAUGGGCGAAAGCCUGACGCAGCGACGCCGCGUGGGUGAUGAAGGCCUUCGGGUCGUAAAGCCCUGUCGCAGGGGAAGAAUAAGCAUCGGUAUAAUACGCCGGUGCCCUGACGGUACCCUGCAAGAAAGCACAGGCUAACUCCGUG